GAUGAACGCUGGCGGCGUGCCUAAUACAUGCAAGUCGAGCGAACAGACGAGGAGCUUGCUCCUCUGACGUUAGCGGCGGACGGGUGAGUAACACGUGGAUAACCUACCUAUAAGACUGGGAUAACUUCGGGAAACCGGAGCUAAUACCGGAUAAUAUAUUGAACCGCAUGGUUCAAUAGUGAAAGACGGUUUUGCUGACACUUAUAGAUGGAUCCGCGCCGGAUUAGCUAGUUGGUAAGGUAACGGCUUACCAAGGCAACGACGCGUAGCCGACCUGAGAGGGUGAUCGGCCACACUGGAACUGAGACACGGUCCAGACUCCUACGGGAGGCAGCAGUAGGGAAUCUUCCGCAAUGGGCGAAAGCCUGACAGAGCAAAGCCGCGUGAGUGAUGAAGGUCUUCGGAUCGUAAAACUCUGUUAUUAGGGAAGAACAAAUGUGUAAGUAACUAUGCACGUCUUGACGGUACCUAAUCAGAAAGCCACGGCUAACUACGUG
rnacentral:rRNA from 1 species